UCCUGUCCCUCCGUGGUUCAAGUACUGGAAAUCAACUUUUUGAUCAAAAACGAUGGUCAUGUAGGACGGUCCGUCAUUCACUCUACGGGGUGUCGUUUGCCUCCGUGGUUCCACACUUGUUCAGACUUCCUUGAACUCACAUCCACGAGCCAUCACCUACAGCCCGUCACUGGACCUACGGUCCGUGGUUUGGCUCCGUCAACUGCUACUGCUGCCACUUCAAUUCUUUUCUCUCUCAACCACUUUCGAACCAAUUUCCUGCAAAGAUUACAUAAAACCAUUAUAUCUACUAACAAAACAACCCAAGACACACACAAACUCUAAGUGAAAUGCAUCAAAAAUAUCAUAAACUGACGGUAUAUCAACACCCUCAACUUAAACUUGUUGUUUGUCCUCAAGCGACACAUUAAAAACUCUAAACGACACUUCAUGUAGAAGCAAACAUACAAACUCAAACAAUCACAUGGCUUUCUCAAUCAUUUCUAUCACUUGUGCAAAUCUUUUCAUUUAGACUCAACAGGACAGGCUAACUCAUGCGGAUCAAAAUAUGACAUACACAGACAAAUAGAUAUCACCACAUACACUUUCAACAAUCACCUAGGUACCAACUCUCCAACAAUGUAACUAGUGCCCUCACUUCAAAGAAAUCAUUUUUCACACAACAGCUCUGAUUUUUAAGCUUAAGGAUUCAGUUAACACUCACGCUCAGAAGUGAAUUCAAAUACAAUUAGUGCUCAAUAUCAUAGGCUUGCCCUUAUUUUCACUGCACAUACUCUCCAAGCUAGUCACUAAGAUCACUAUAGGACUUUAUUAGCAUGUAACGUAGGCUCAGAGUCAGGUAGGAUACAUUUGGAAACUUUUAGUGACUUUUCUGCCCUCCUUGACAUUACAUUGGCUAUUUACCUCUUUUCUCAACCAAUUCUGGCAUAAUUUUUUAUUUUCUACUUUUCUCCUUGCUUUCUUCAGCACAUAUAUGACUUGACUUUUUCAUUCUUCUUUUUCCACUUUUUCUUUUUCUUUUACUUCUUCUUUCUUUGUUUUUCAGCAUCAUUAUCAUUCUUUUUGUUUCUCUUGAAUUUAGUCACACCUUUUUCUAUCCCUUUUCUUCUUCUAUACACAACUCUUUUCAUACCCUUUUCUUUCAGUUUCCUUUUUCAUAGCCACCCUCAACUUAUGUAUAUUGCAUGAGUUGAGGUGCACAAUAUCCGAGGUCGGACCAGGGCCAAGAUUAAAGUAACUUUUGAAUUAGUCACCCUCAACUUAGGCUUUUGGGCUAAGUUAAGGUGCACAUGUCCAAGGAUGGACCAGGGCUAAAAUAGUCUUUAAGGGAAGGUGAGUUAGUGUAUUGAAUGAUGUGGUAUUCAUUAGGCUCAAACAAUUGGAUCAAAGGGAGCAUUUAUUUCUUUUGGUUGGAUCUUUCUAGGCUUAAGUGGACUUAUUUGAACAAGGGCCUAUGAUCAUUUCCCAAUUUCUAGCCUAGAUUAUCUUAGCAGGACCAAUGAGGCAAGUUCUAGAUUGACACAUACUGCAUGAACAUACAAUUUCCUCACACACACUUGGCACGUUGAUUCAUUAUCGAAUUAUUGAAGCACCUAGUUCAAGUUUUAGCUUAAGCCAUGCUAUUCUACUGGUUCCUAUCAUGUCACAUCCAGAUCCAACACAUUCAACUAAUAAAGCCCAUAGAUCUAGCACAUUUCAAAUUUUUUGGACGGGUAUCAAUUUCAUGCUCUUAUGACAUCAUGCUUUCAUUCUUUCUAUCUACUUCUACACAUACAAUCCUACACAUGCCGGUUCAACAGAAAACUAAAACAGACCCUUGGGGAAAAAGAACACAGGCAAGAAAACCCCAAGGGAGGGUUAUGAGUUAGGUUACUCAAACUUCACCCUAUCACACACAACCUAUUUACCCCACCCCCACGAAAAAAUGGUGCAAUUUCCCUCAAUGCACAAAAAAAGAAAAAUAAAGCAUAGGGUGAAGCAAACCUGUGGCGCAUACGCGUUGAUGACCCAUCAAGAAGCGGGUGGGUCUGAUUUCUCGGAACCCACUGGAUCAGCAAUAGGAACGCCAUUUGUAACACCCUCAUCAACAAUGGGAACAUCCUUAGUAGUGCUCCUCGACCCUGAUGGGCCAACAUCUAUCUCACGGGCCCGUUGCUGUCGCAACUCCUCAUCAAUAAUGGACUGCCUCUAGGCUACCUCCAACUGCUGUCGCUCUCUCCUUUUUGCCCGUCGGGCCUCCUUAGUGUCAGAAGUAUGGUCAGAAGAGCGGUGGCGCUUCCCACCCGCACAGGAAGGGUCGAGUGGUGGCAUAGUGUCGCCAAAGAGUGUAGUCAUCACCACCUCAACCUCAGGUGCGGUCUUCGAUAUAGUCUCAGUAGGGGAUAGAAGAGCAUCAACAUCAGAACGGAGCCUAGCCAACUCCGUCCGGAAAGUGGUAACAUCAAUGGUGGCUGCAUGCCUCUCCAAGACUCUCAACUUGAAUGCAUCUAGUCACUUGUGGACCGCCUGAAUCUUCGUGUCCAUCAUCCGCUCAAUACGAGCCUUUGACUCCUCAAUAGAUCGCUGCAUCCAGGGCCUCAUGUGCAGCAAGGUAGCCAUAUUCUCCCAAGACACCCAAUGCUUGCUUCUACCUUCAUUCUUGUUAUUCCAAAAGAAUCCAACAAAUAAUUUGUGAAGGUCAUGAACAACACACUUGGGUGGAUUUAUAAUUGAAAGGAGAUGAAUUGGCAUAUUCGGGUUCAUUUGCAAUUAGCACAACCUUACCUCCAUAAAAAAUAAUGUUUCCUUUACAAGCUUGAAGCUUGUUCUUUACCUUUUUAAUGAUAUCAUUAUAGAAAGAUUUUUUUUUUCUAGCAUGAAAGAUGGGACACCCAAGAUAUAAUAAAGGAAAUUGACCUCUGUUGAAUCCAGUGAUCUCUGAGACUUGAUUGACUAUGUUGCCAAAGACCUUGUUGUACAUGUAGAAAAAGCUUUUCUGGUGAUUGAUUUUCUGACCAGAUAUUCCUUCAUACUCAUUUAAGGUAUUCAAAUCUAACGUCAGAGAAUACUCAUCGGCAGACACAAAUAGCAGAUACAAAUAUUAGGGUAUCAUCAACAUAUGCUAAAUGGUUUAAGUCAGAACUCAACUUUGGCAUUCCAAACCCUCUGAAGGAUAUACUCCCUCUAUCUCUAAUUACUUGUCCACUUUUGAAUUGACACACCUAUUAAGAAAAUAAUGAUUGACAGACUGAGUUUAUCAUUUUACCCCUAUUAAUUAUGAAUGAGAUGAAUUAAAAAUUUAAGAUUUUCAAGAAGUUCUACCUUUUUAAAAGUAAUUAAUUGAGGAUAUAAUAGGUAAAAAAAAAUUAUUUUUUCAAAAUAAACAAGUAAAAAAGAAAAAUCGAAUGAGUAAUUACGGACAAAGGGAGUACUAUAGAAGUGUGUAUUUUUAUUUUUUUUACUUUUGAGCUAUUUUCUUUUCCAAAUUAGCCAACGACUUUGAGAUCAUACGGCUGCAAUUCAGCAAAAAUGACUCCAAAAGGUCACAUGGUAAGAGAAAUUAUCACUUCUUUCUUAUUUUGUACUCAAAAAUUCAUCAAAAACACAGCCCCCAAGGCCUAGCUCGAGUGACAAAAGGUGAAGGAUUUGUGGUUCAGGUCACAAGUUCAAGCCCCACACCAAGCAAAGCGAAACCCAAUAUUGAAGGGUAGAUAGAAGGCUGUGAUUGAUCCAAAGGACGGAUCACAAUCGAAUUUCUUGGUUAUCAAAAAAAAAAUUCACCAAAAACACAAAAAAUUACUACUCCCUCCGUCCCAUUUUAUAUGACACUUUUUGAAUUUCGAGAUUCAAACAAGUCUAUCUUUGACAGUAAAUUGUUCAUAGAUUUUUAAGCAUUUUGAAUUAUCUAUUAUUGUGACUUAUAGUACUUUUUACAUGGUUUACAAAUAUAUAAAUUUCAUUUCAAAAAAAUUGAAGAUUUGAUGCACAAAUUUCCGAUCAAACUUAAACUGUUUGACUCUCGAAAAACGAAAAAUGCCACAUAAAUUGGAACAGAGGGAUUAAUUCUUUUGGUUCCAUUUGCUGAUGAUUAUCGAUUUAGUGUUUGGGGAAUUUAAAUGUACUCAAAUAAAUUCAUAACGUCUUUUCUCCAAAAAAAUAUAUAAAAUGAAUUAUCAAACUAUCUCAAAAUGUAAACAUGUAUUGUCCAAAAAAAUUAAAUACAACACAAAAUUUGAAAUAUCUAAAUAUUUUAAUCUGAACUAUAAUUUUAUUUUUAUUUUUAUUUCUACCCAUGUUCGUGUUCACAUUGGAGUCCCAGUUAAAUUUAGAUUGCGCACUGCAAAUUUGAGGUUCGCACUGCACUUUCUAUUGACAUGUACCAAGAAUAAAGAAAGAAUAUCAACUCCCAACGCGCUUCCAAGCGACCCCUAGCUCAAAAUAUUCAAUUCCCAUACAAUUUCAAGCCCAAUCGAACCUUUAAUGGGGUAGAAGUCUUAGAGAAAUGAGGAAUCCAACAAUAUAUAGGCCUGUGUGACCCAAAGAUCCCGAUCACGAUGGUCAAGAAAAUUGACCUACAGGAGUGCGGCUCCAAGCUCGAGAACGUAAAGAGCAAACCAUGGUGCACCAACAAAGGUUGCACCAACUGAAGCUUGAAGUUGAGAAAUAUUUAGACGGAGUGCUCGUGAUUCAUUCAAAACCUUGUGCACAUACAUGAACAAUGCUACCCUACCAAAUUCGAUAUGUUGUCAUGUUUGGAAUAACUUAUCCCACCAUUUGUAGCAUAGAGAUGAGAUAAGUUCUCCCAUAUACAUGGUGGGAUAAGUUAUCGCAGGAUAACUAAUCCUGGGAUAGCUUGUUCUCAACCAAACGACCCCUUAAGAGUGCUAUAGAGCCAAAAUUGGCUAAGUUCUUAUUAUAGCAUACUGUGUGCAUUCAGAGUUCAUAGCAACUAUGAUCUUUCCUUACAAUUGUAAGUUUGUUGCCACGUAAAAAGUGAUGUAAAUGAAUUUGUAAUUACUCCACAUUUUCAUGAAGUUGAAAGGCUACAACAGAUGAUCUUUCCUUACAAUUAUAUUAUGUGUUUCUAUUUCAAAGCUAAUCAACAUUUUUUUCAAGUUGAAUAUCUGAAUAAAAUGAAUAUAAUGGCAUUGAUUAUGAUCCGUUAGCAUUUUUGAAAAGGCUGGAGUUGUGACACAUGGUGGACUCGUGAAGUUCAUAUACCCGCCUGAAACUUCUCAUCGGGCAUGAAUUACUCUGUCCAAAGCAGUUUUUAUCGAACAUGCAUCACUCUCUCCUACAGGAUUUUUAUAUCGAGCUACCACAUGUAAGAGUGCUCCAUAUAAUAUGAAUAUCAAUCAACCAUAUCAAACGAUCUGCCAAAUCACAAUUUCGUGAAUCAUCACAGAAUGUAAGUACGGAUGAUCAUAUAUAUCAUGAGUAACAUAUGCCCCCAUGUGGCAAAGAAUCUGUACUAAAAAGUUAACUUAGGCAAUUCAAGUAUCACAAAUGUAUGAGAUACUCAGAGUGAUGCAUAAACAAACAAUCAAUUGAUCUGUAUAUAUCACCUGGUACCCGUAGGUGUUCGUCACCUCACCUAUAUGGUACCUCCUUAUCAUUAUUUACGAAAAUAUCUCUCAACCGGAGUCUAAAAAAUCUAAAACUUACCGCAAUAUGAAGCACCGUAAAUCAUAAAACAGUCUUCCCCUUUGUCAGUGCCUCUGAGCGCUCUCAAUCUAUCAAAUACGAGUUCUACAUAAGUAUUCGAGUCCAUUGAUACCCAUAUUGACAUAAAUGAACCAAUAAAAAAAUCAACUGCACAUCAUACUACCAGAACUACUAAACUCAUAAUAUUGCAAAUUUAUGCUUAAUAAGCAACUAUAUUUUUGGGAACCACACUAUUAUCAUCAUCAAAUUUCAACCAAAUAUUUUAGCUCAAAAUGCAGCUAAGGGCUCACAAGAAUUUAUAAUUAAGAGACCUUACUUCUUUUCAGAUACUUUCACGACCAUGGUUUUCUGCUGCUCCACCACAUUUGAUUUCUUCGACGGCAGUGAAAGUUCACCCUUAUCAUUCACUGAAGAACAUCAUCUUCUACAUUCUGUAAAUAGAAACUAGCUCCAUUAACACAAACAAUUGGAAAAAAAAAACAGUACUCCUCGACCCUCCCUCUCCCAAACCAAUAGAAAGGACCAAGAAUAGCAUUUUACAGCCAAAAAUAAUAAAAGGAGAAGACAAAAAAAUUUCCAAAUAGGUAUCUGACAAAUUACUUAUUCACUAUUCUACAUUCUGCAAAUAGGUUUAUUAAUGCAUACAAGUGAUAAAAUCAAUACCCCUCAACCUCCAUCUACCCACACCUAGAAAAGAUAAUCAGGAACCAACAUUUUGAGACCAAAUGGGAAAGAAAAAAGCAUCUUUCCAAAUGGAUAACUGUUGAACUACUUAUUUAUCUGCCUAAUUCCAAAGAUAGAAAAUAGGUCCACUUUUCAAUAAAUAUAAGUGAAAUAAUUACAUCAUUCAACCCCCAACCCAACACCAAAAUCACGAAACAACAUUACGAAGCAAAAAUAAGGGGAAAAAGACAAUAUUUUUCAAUUGGAUAUUUGAGAUCAGGUGAACUAUUGAGAAACAAACCAGAGUCAGAUGAGCCUUUGAGGUAUCUCAAUAAAUGUAAGGCAACUUGCAUGUGGGGAGCACAAGAAUGCUGCAUAAAAUGGCUCAAGUGUGUGUAAAGAAGUUUAGCUUGCCAAUCAAGAUCCUGUAAACUCAACUCUCUUUCACUACUCUCAACUCUCUCUUGAUUUUGAAAUGGUCAUGAAGAAAGGGCUUGAGAGCAUCUGUUUCAGUUAAAUCAGUGCUAGUGAGAACAAUAUCAUCCACAUAUACAACCCCUACAAUAAAAGAGUCCCAGACUCCAAAGGCUGAGAAAGCUUAACAUACCACUGUCUGGAAGCUUGUCUCAGACCAUAUAGACUCUUUUGUAAUAACAAACUGAAGGAUCAGAAAAAGAAGGGGGAAGAAGGAACCAAGAAUAGGAGGAAGUUUCAUAAAGACUUCCUCAUCCAAUUCACCAUGUAAGAAAGCAUUGUUGACAUCAAGCUGAAAGAGAGGCCACUGCUGUUUGAUGGCAACACCAAUUAGACACUUGACAUUGGACAUCUUAACAACAGGAGAAAAAGUGUUAUGAAAAUCAACUCCCUCAACCUGUAUCCCCCCUGACCACUAAUCUGGCUUUAUACCUCUCAAUGGUCCCUUCAGCCCUACAUUUGGCUUCUUUUUUUUUAGGCUGGUAACAUUAGUCUAUAGAUAUCCACAGGUAUACUACAACCAAAAGUGUAGUUCCCCUUCAAAAAAGUAUUAUAUCUUACAGAAUCUUUGACUUAAUCAGAUUGAUGCCUAUAAACAAUCUAGUACAUCAAAGAUGUCUUCUGUUCUAGCUAAAAUAUCUUGUUUACACCAAAAAUAGAAAAGAGCUAAGCAAUUCAUUCUAAUCUUCUGAAGGCUAUUCUGUACAUUCUCAAAGCUCCUAUUGUUCCUCUCUUUCCAAAUUGUCCACCAAAUGCAUGCUGGGACAAACUUUCAUCUCUCCUUCUUCUUUGAAGCAUUGUCAUCCCUAAUCCAGCUACUUAGAACUCCUUUGCUGCUUCCUGGUUUCACCCACGUAAUUCCUUUCAGGCAAAUGAACAUUCUCCAUGGUUGCUCAGUCCACUUACAGUGUAAAAAAAGAUAAUUGAUUGUCUCUGCUUGCUCUCGACACAGAGUACAUCUAGAGGCAAAUCGAUAUCCUCUUUUCUUCAAAUUUUCAUAGGUCAGAACUGCUUCUUUUGACAGCAACCACAAAAAGCAAUUCACUUUGUAGGGCACCUUUGGUUUCCAGAUCAUCCUCCAUGGCCAGUCCGUCUCUUGGUCUGCACUCUUGAGUGCCCUAUAUGCUGAAUUGACUGAGAAUUUACCAUGAAUGUCACUCUGCCAAACCAGUUAGUCCUUCUCCUCAGUAAGAUCGCUAAAAUUAUCUACUGAGUUCUGGAGUGCAAUUACCUUCUCUAUUUCCCAGUCAUUUAGGUGUCUCCUUAGGAACAAAUUCCAGCCUUGACCAAUCCACAUUGUGGCCACUGUUGCCUGUUUUUGUUGACAUAACAUGUAUAGUUCCGGAUGCAGUUGUUUCAUGGGUGUUGCUCCAUUCCAUUUGUCCUCCCAGAAGGAGGUUUUUUGACCAUCUCCCACUUUGAUUCUGGAUCUGAAAUACAACAUAGGCCACAGUUCAUGAUUGCUCUCCAUACAGUGCAGUUGUAUGGAGUGUUAACCACUUUUGUCAUCCACUUGUCCUCCAUGCCAUACUUUGCUAUGAUGACCUCCUUCCAAAGCAUAUGAUCUUCAUUGGCAAAUUUCCACAGCCACUUCAACAUGAGGCUUUGGUUUUGCUUCCUUAAGUGCCUGAUGCCUAGGUUACAUGUAUCCUUGUUCACUAUCAGUUCCUGCUAUUUAACUAGGUGGAACUUCUUUUCGUCUACACUCCCUUGCCAUAGGAAAUUUCUCCUAAGGGCAUCAAUGCUCUUAGAUACACUUGCAGGCAUUGGAAAUACUGACAUCAUAUAGGAAGGUAGUGCAUCAAGGACACUAUUGAUUAAAGUUAGUCUGCCUCCCAAGGAGAGAUACUGACUUUUCCAGUUGGUGAGUUUCUUUUCACAUUUCUCUAGGACCCCAUUCCAAAUACCUUUGGACUUGCUUUCAGCUCCCAGAGGCAUGCCAAGGUAGGUUGUUGUAAGUGCCCCAAUUUUGCCUCCGAGCUUACUAGCCAAUCUUUCCAUCCCUGUCACAGUGUUGAUAGGAUAGAUAAAGUUCUUUCCCCAAUUGAUAUGGAGUCCAGAGACUACCUCAAAAAUGACAAAAAUAAUCCUCAAAAUCAAGAUUUGGUCUGUUUUUGCUUUACAAAACACCAAUGUAUCAUCUGCAUAUUGAAGGUGAGUUACCUCCAAGUGCUUGGAAUCCUUUGAUCCAUCCUUUCCCUUUUGCUGUGUUGAUCAAGUUACUCAACCCUUCCAUGGCUAUAAUGAACAGAAAGGGAGAUAGUGGGUCUCCCUGUCUCAAUCCUCUUUGGGAAGCAAAAAAUCCAGUAGGUGCUCUGUUGAUUAGGAUGGAGAAUCUCACAGUGCCAAUACAAUGUUUGAUCCAGUUGAUCCAUUUAACUACAAAACCCAUUCUAACCAUUUACAACCAAUAGGUUUCUUACCACUAGGUAACCCCACAAUAGACCAAGUGUCAUUAUUAGCUAAUGCCUCAAACUCCUUACUCAUAGCCUCCUGACACUCAGGCACAGUAGCAGCUUGAGUGUAAGUGCAGGGUUAAAAAACAUGAUGCUGACUAAGAGUCUAAGACUAGAUGAUUCAAAAUGGGAGCAAUCAACAGACUUGAAAAGCAUUACAAAGAUACUACUGGAGGUAAACACGUUGAUGAAUGGCCUUAGUAGAUAUUCUAGGUGCAAGAAACGAAAGAGGAGCAGAGAAAGAAGAAAUGGGAGGAGUAGAAGAUGAAGGAAUGGAAGCAGCAGAAACAGGAGGAGAUGUAUGUGGACAUGAGGGAGAAAAGGAAUCUGAAGGAGGAUCAAAAGAAGGAAAAGAAGAAGCAACAUGAGUGGGGUCAUAAAAACAGAAAGAGAAAGGAAAAGGACAUAACUGAGAAGAUUUAGAAGACUGAAGAGAGUGAAAAGGUGUUCAUGGAAAAUAACAUCCCUGGAAAUAAACAAGCCUUGGUUUCUAGGUUAUAAAGCCUGUAACUUUUAUUGGCAAAAUGAUAGCCAACCAAGAUGCUAGGAAUAGCUCUAGGUUGAAAUUUAUCCCUAUGAGAUUAGGGAGUGGUAGAAUAACAAAGACAACCAAAAGUUCCGAGAUGAGCAUAAGUAGGUGGCUGCCCAUAGAGUAACUGAAAAGGGUUAUUGUGAUUCAGAAGAUGAGACGGGAAUCUGUUUAUGAGAUAUGUAGCGAGAAUGCCCAGAAUCUGAUAGGGAGGUGAUAUUAAAAAAAGUAAUUUCCUGGCAGUAAUCAGUAUCAAGUAAGUGUCUAGGCAUCCUCUCUACCACCUCAUUUUGUUGUGAGGUGUGUGAGCAGGAAAUCUCAUGCACAAUCCCUCUAUCAAGAAAAAAAAAAUUAGAACCAGAAAUAGAGCUCCCAAGUUAUAGUGCAUUGUCACUUCAGACAAUUUGGACUUUGGUAUGAAAUUAGGUGUCAACCAUGAAAACUAGGACCUUUAAGAUAUCAAAGGCAUUAACUUUGGCACCCAAUAAUGAGUCCAUGUUACCCUGGGGUAGUCAUCAAACAAUGGUCAAAAAGUAUCUUGGCUCAUCAUAGGUAGGAACAUGGAUGGCCCUCAUGUGUCAACAUGAAUCAGUUGGAAAGGGGUGGUAGUUUGUAUAGAGCUAUCAGGGAAAGGUAGUCUGGUUUGUUUGGCUAGAGAGCAAAUGGGCCAUGUGAAAUAUUGUUUAGAAGACAAAGAAGUACCAAAGCCCAGAAAUAUAUUUCAUUUUAGAGAAAUGCAUAUGCCCAAGUCUUUAAUGCCAAAUAAUAUCCACUUCAUUAAUAUCAGCCAAAUGUGCAUCGGAGCUAUGUUGCUCAGACUCGGGUGCAAGUACCCGAAACGGAUGCGGAUCUGAGAGUCAGAUUUGGCAAAAGCUAAAUUUUAAGAUUCAAGGUUACGAAUCCUAGUAUAAAUACAGGACCAGGAAUUAGGCUAAAAAUUAAGCAUUAUAAAAAUAGUGUUAUAAAGAUAUUCUAAAUUUGAGAGAUAUUUUGUAGAAUUCAAUCUUUUAUUUAUCCUAGUCUUAUCUCUUAACGAAUUAUAAAGCUAAAAAAUUAUAUGUAGAUGACACAUAUUGAGAUUUGCUGUCCCAGUGAAUACUAGUCCAACGAAGUGCAGAAUACUGAUUAUACAAACAAAGUCCCAUGAAAGGUAAAAUGUCAUUAAAAGUGGUCAGGCCCAAAUGUCGAAAUAAUUUUAGUUGCAACAUGCAGGCCCAUAUAAAUCUUUAAAAAACCCUAGUUUCAUAUAUUCUGUUUCAUUCACAGUUCACACGCCACUGCCUCUACGAAAUACAUCAAAACACCAACCCUAGCUCACAUACUCCCUCUCUGCCAAAAUGCAGCCGACGUUCGAUCCAUCUCAGAUCGUCGAGGUUUCUGUCCGAGUCACCGGAGGUGAAGUCGGAGUGGCAAGUUCACUCGAUCCAUCACAGAUCGUCGAAGUCUUUCCCAAAGAAAUUUAUCGACUCUAGUCAAAGUAUCCGUAUGGGAUUGACCGGAUCUGACAUGCACCUCGCACCCACAUCCACCCCAGUGUUGCGUCGAGAUGGGUUUGGCAGUAAAAUCGAACAGUCCACACAACAUAACAUCAGAGGCUACAUUUUUAUACUCAUGUGAAACAUCUAUGCCAGGAACAGUUGAGGCAAGAGAAGAAAACACAGUUCAAAAAGUAUUAGAAGAGAUAGAAGGGAGAACAGUAGAGAUUAAGAAGAAAUACUAGGAACAAAACUGCAAGGAAUAUGAGAAAGCUUGUACAGUCCACACUCUGGUCUACCAAAAACAAUAUUUGGUGAAGGGCCUCUAAAGUGCAACCAAAUUGGUGAACUGAACAAUAUUUCCAGAAGGUUCAACAAGUUUUGAAUCAGAAAUGAGGUUAUGCUAAAAGUUAGGAAUGUAUAAUACAUUGUACAAAGUAAGAUCAGGAAACAGUGUUAACGAGCCAAUGUUAGAGACUUUAACUUUGUAUCCAUUUAGAAAUGAAACAAGACAAGGAAUAGGUAAUGUUACCUGUAAAGUUAGCAGAUGCUAUGAGGAUUAGUGAGUGGUGAAAGAUGAGAGUGCUGCAAGUGGGACAGUAUGUGGAAGUACUGAUCUUUAGUCAGACUAGCAACAGUGACUGGCAGGUUAGAAACACCAGAUAAACCAGAAUCUCAGAUUAUGCACCUGUAUGACCAGGACCAGAAGUCUCAAAUUAAGCAUGUGCUGCUGUCUUCCUUGGACCAGUAUUCUUAGGGUCACCAGUAUUCUCUGUGAACUUCAAAUGAGAAGGAUAAUAGUUUAGUCUGUAACAUUUCUCAAUGGUGUGAUUCGUUUUGCAAUACAAAAGAAAAGAGGUUGGGAUAGAUCAAAGGAGACUUUAGACAGGAACUGUGGUUUGGAGACUCUAGAGGUGAAAGAAGCAGAAUUGGAUCCCAAAUGAGAAGUAGAGGAGACUUGUCUCUGUUUCUAUUCAACCAACAAGGAAGUGGUUUCAUCAUAAGAAGUUACGAACAAUCCUUCUCACUUGUAGAUAAGUCUAAUUGAGUCCCAUUAAAAAUGGAAAAAACCUUUUGUUCCUCUUCAACCUUCCUGUUACCACCACAAGUACACACGGUCAAAUGAUUUGCAGAAAUAGAAUAUCUCAUCCCAAAGCUUUGUGAUUUUGUUGUACUAUGUAGCAAUGUAUAAAGAUACUUGAGAAAUGUCGACGAGUUCUUCUUAAGCUCAAAAACUCUAGUACCAUCAGUCUUACCAUAUCUUUCUUCCAAUUCAUUCCAAAUAUCUCUAGCAAGUUCAAAUAGUCAACACGCUGAGAAAUUCCUUUGAUGAGGAAAUUAGCUAACCAGGUUCCUAUUAAGUCAUUGUAACAUUGCCAUUGUGUAGACAAAUGAGAGUCAUCAGGAGGUCUAGUUGAAGUUCCAGUGAUGAAACCCAACUUGUUUCGAACAGAUAAAGCUACUAAUAUUAUACGUCUCAAACUACUAUAACAAGAACAAUCAAAGGAUCAGAAACCAAAGAAACCCCCCAAAACAUCAGAUGGAUGAGCAUAAAGAAGAUGGCAUGGAUGCAUAUAAUCAAUCCUUGGGGUGAAAUACAACACUUUCGUGUUUUACUUGAUUUCCGCUUUAUGAUGACAAAAUUAAUUGAGUGAUAUUUGGGGUUUGCCUAUGGGAGGGUAAGUGCCUUCAUGGCUAGCUUGUACUUUUGGGUCAUGACAAUUUGGUAUCAAAGCAUGGUUCACAGGUCUCAUGAAUACAAGAUCAACGUCUAGUAGAGUCUUGCAAAUUGUUAUAAAGACGUUUGUUCUUGUCUUCGAGAGGCUACAUGAUAUCAAGAAAAUUUCUAUUCCACCAUUCCUUAUCAAGCAUAGAGGUUCUGUGCAUUUGCAGCUGGAGGAUAGGAGCCUACACCGACACCUACUGCCAGGGUCGUGGAAGGUGGUAGAGCCAGAGCCCUAGUCGCAAUGCUAGUGAGAGGUAGAACAUUGACAGUUGCUCAGGGCCAUGCUCAACCAGUGUCCCCAAAUAUUUAUGAUAUUCUAGAUAAUGAGACGAUUCCAUCUGGAUUUAUUGCUAUGCUAGUACUUCAAGACACUCUUGUCGACAUGCUUGGAUUUCUUGAGGGAUGGUGUAGGUGAAUAUUCUACUAGUCACACCAGAUGGCUCAUAGACCAGGAUGGGAGGUUAGAUUCCUAAUCAUAUGACUGCUCCAAUGUUCCAUCCUCCCGGGGCUGUGGGUUUACAUGCACGUUCUUAUCGCUAUCGUUACCUCUAACCCAAAAUGAGUGAAAUGACAGUGGUGAUUUUGCUCUUUUGUUUUUCAUUGUUCUAACAUGUUAAACCAACUCUGAAGGUCAUUGUAAUGGUAUGCUUAGUGUGCUUGAACCUUCUGCAACGUAUCUCUUUUUGUUGAUCGAUUGGAUGAGAUAGAACAUGAUUCAUGAAUUCUCGAUAGCCUCUACAAUUUUGGGACAUAGAGGACAUUGGAGUAGCAAGAGAUGAGUCGACAUUUCAUAAACCAAAAUUGAAAUGGAAACAGCAUCAACAAUAUUAUUAAUUGUGGUCAAACAACAUAAAAAUAUAACCUAAAACGGUCAAUUCACCUAUUUGAUUUGUUUGGAGUAAUAAGAUGAGAUUGAAUUGUGUAUAUCAACUCUUCUUUUUCUUUGGAUUAAUUGUCCUUAUCAACUCUUAAAACUGUAUGAAGAAUUUAUAGGCCAGUACUCACCUUCACACUUGUAGAUUUCACAUAUCUUGUUAUGGUAACCAAAGAAUUCAACUUUUGAUUGCAAAGCUAUAACUUUUGAAAAAGAUGCCAUCACAAGACAUGUGAAAUCUACAAUUCUGAAGGUGAGCAAUGGCCUAUAAAUUCUUCAUACAAGUUUUCAGAGUUGAUAUGCACAAUUUAAUCUCAUCUAAUCGCUCCAAACAAAUCAAAUAGGUGAAGUUGACCUUUUUUUAGGUAUAUUUUUUUUAUGUUCUUUGACUUAAAAUAAUAAUCAUGUUGAUGUUGUUUCCAUUUCAAUUUUGUUUUACAAAAUGUCAGCUCAUCUCGCGCUGCUCCAAUGUCCUCUAGGUCCCAAAAAUUUUCAUGGCUAUCAAGAAUUCAUGAAUCAUGUUAUAUCUCAUCUAGUAGAUCUACAAGAAGAAACAUAUGCUGCAGAAGGUUCAAACACACUAAGUGUACCAUUACUAAAACCUCUAGAGUUUGUUCAACUUGUAAGAACCAUGAGAAACAAAAGAGCGAAAUCACAAUCACCACCCCCACCAUUGGCAUUUCAUCCAUUCUGGGUUAGAGGUAAUGGUGUGGUAAAAAUGUGCAAGUAAACCAACAGCUACCACCUACGUCACCGCCACCACCAUCAUCACAUCCCGCCCGAUCGGUUCGACGUAAAGAAGAUGGAAGAGGUGAGCAUACAAACCAACAACUACUAGCACCUCCACCGCCCUCAGAUCAUAUGCUAAUUCAAUCAAAGGUAUCAAUGAUGGCAGACGUGUGCAUACAAAUCAUCAGAUACCACCACUACCACAAGCAUAUCAUCCUCCCUCACUUAGAGAAAAUGCUUAUGGCGAAGGUGUACAAGCAAAUCAACAGCUACUACCACCACCACCCUCAUAUCAUGCCAACUCAAUUAGAGGUAACAUUGAUGGCAGAGGUGUGCAUACACACCAACAUAUACCACCACCACCACUAUCACAUCGUCUUCCUUCACUCGGAGGAAAUGAUUAUGGAGAAGGCGUAUAUGCAAACUAGAGGCAACAAAUGUUUCAAUCGACAAGAACGGCCUAUGUCUGAGGUUCAAAUUCAAUAGCUAUUAACCAAAAUGAAGAUGUCCCUAUUUUGGAUAAAUCUUAUCCAUCUGAGUCGAAACUCGAACCUCAAUUAGUUUGUGAUAAUGAAACUAGUGGGCUGGAUCUAGCAUUAAGGCUUUAAAGCCAAGAGUAUCCAUGCUUAAACCAUUUGCGGUGUUUUCUAUCAAAAAUUGUCUAAAUCACCAAUUGCUUAGAUGUUCUUUUAAGUAUUCUCCUUAUUUAUAAAGUUGUGUUCCCCCUGAAUUCUAAUAGAACUUUUCUGUGUCAUUUAACUUUUUUUGCGUAAUCACGAUAUACUUAAAUCUAAUAUCACAUCUAUUGGUACCAUUUAUUUAGAAUUUUGUAGCUCACAUAAUUUUUUCCGAGAACAUAUAAAAACACCAAAUAGAAGCCGCCAUGAUCUAUGUCAGAUGUAAGGUGUUAGUAUGCAUACAUACAACCCUCUCCAAAUCCCACUUGUGGGAUUACAUAGAGUAUGAUGUUAUUGUUGUUCUUUUAAGUAUUAUCCCCAUUGCACAAAAAUUUACACGUCUAACAACCUUUAAACAACUCAAAUAUGUAUCGACUGAAAUUAGACUUUAAUAAUUUCAUGCCUAAAAUUGUUUCGAAGUGAUUAGAAGUGCAAUUUUUUUUUAAAAAAGUACAAGCUAAAUAGUGGUGUCCAAAUAAAGUACUCACAAAAUUGAGUCACAUGACACAUGACAUAUUUUGGAUAUUGAAAUGAAAUAACACUAAUAGAUUUUAGUCUUGAAACCAAUUAUAUGCAGUAAAUUACACUUAAUGACAUGUCUUGAAGCCCCAUGGGCAAACAUUUCAAGGUGAAAAGUCAUAACUAAAGUUUAGUCCAUGGGACAAGCAAGGUCAAAAGUUCAAGAUUAGUCACCUCCAAUGUCAUUCUCAAGAAUCACUCAAUCAAGUGGGUCAGAUUUUGCCAAGUCCAACUUAAUGGCCAAGAUAAAAUAUGACUUUAAAUUUUAUUGAGAAAAGACAUAAAGUCACCACUGAAGUUGUUUCGAAUUUUAAAAAAGACACCUUAACUUUGCAACCGUCCUAUUACCCCACUAAACAAUUAUGAAUUGAUACUAUUAUAUCAUUUUUCGAUCAGCCCCAGAUUUUAAGAAGCAAGUGUGUUCACACACCAAUCAUUACAUGACACUUGUUAAUUUAAUAAAAAAAAAAUUCAUUUCAAGUUUUUUUUAUCUCUCUUAAUUUUUGACUUAUUUUAAUUUUGAUUUCAUCUUCCACCACCCACUUUCAAACUGAUCCAUCCCUCCAUUUUCGUUCUUUUUCUUCACCUUCCACCCUCACCCCACCCCCACGUCAAGUUGAACCCCUCUCCCUUUUUUUUCUUUUCUUUUUCUUCUUCUUCUCCAAUCAUAUUCUUUAUUUCAGUGAGUUUUUUAUAAAAAAGAAAUCAUACUAUUUAUUAGACUUUAUUGAAUUAUUGAUAACAAAAUUAAUUAUUUUUCUAAGAAAAUUUAAAAUUUUGAAGGUAUCAUCAAUUACUCCUUUUCAUAUAACUUCAAAAUUAAAAAUGAUAAUUUUAAAAGAAUCAAUAAAUUCCCCAAAAAUUGAAAGAACUUGAUUGAAAUAGGAUAAAAAAAAACUAUAUGAUACGCCCCCAAGGCCUAGCUCAAGUGGCAAAAGGUGGAGGAUUUGUGGCUUAGGUCGCAGGUUCAAGCCCCACACCAUGCAAAGCGAAGCCCGGUAUUUAAGUGGAGAAGGGUAGAGGGGCGGGCCCAUUAUCCACCGAGUUUAGAAGGCUGUGAUUGGUCCAAAGGACGGAUCACAGACGGAUUUCUCGGUUAUAAAAAAAAAAACUAAAAAAAAAACUAUAUGAUACCUCCUAAUCAUCUUGAAAUCAUAUGGGUUUAUCAAAUUGUUCGAAAUGUAAUAAAAUAUUUAGAUAAAGUUUUAAAAUUAAAAAGAGUAAAACUAAUAGUAGUAAAAAAAGGAAGGUGAAGUUACGAUAAAAAUGGUGACAUUGAAAGUGAGAAGAUUCAAUGGAGAUGACAAUAAAUUUUUGAAUAAGAAAGAAGAAAGAAAGAGAAAUAAUAAUAAGGAAAAGAAGUUAAAAUAAUAAGAAAAUAUAUUUUAUAAUAAAAUACUUGUAAAUAUAAAAUUAUAUUAGUUAUUUUAGGUUGCUCACUCUCUUUUGAGAGAGUCCACACACUAGUUCAAGAUUAUUUAGUGGGGUAAUAGGACGCCCGCAUAGUUAAGGUGUCUUUUUGAAAAUUCGGGACAAGUUCAGGUGUCACUCUAUGUCUUUUCUCAAUUUUAUUUAAAUACUAGAUGUGUAAUCGCAUGUGUAAGCAUAAGUCCGACAAUACAAAUCUUUUGUACCUCUUUUUUCUUUGAACUAAUUCAAUUAGGAUUUCUGCUACAUAUGUUUUAAUGAAAAACUAAGAACAAAGAACAACAUACAAUAAGUGCUAAACUGAUUAUCCUCUUUUUAACUUGACACAACAAUAUAUCUUGAUACUCGCACAGAGUAAGCCUUAAGUAAUGGAUACAAUUUACUCUUUGCACCAUUUAACAACUAGGUCUCUUCUAUUUCUUUAUGGACCAACAUAUUGAUACGGCUCAAUACAAAUGGGCUUCUCCUAGCUGUGUUUCUAGACCGGAGAAGCGAUUUACAUAACAUAUUAAUUGGGAUAAAGAUGGUCAAAUUGUUGACACACCUUUUAUGGAAUUACACUUAGCAAUCCAAAAACAUUGUUAGCACGCACAUCCUACAACAUGUCCCCUGCCACUCCGCCACCCACCCCUAUCCCAACCCUAACCCCCAAAAUAGUACAAAAAAAUAAAAGAAAAAUACAAAAGAGGAAAAAUAUUAUAUCACAAUGUUUAAAAAAAAUUGACAAAUAAUAGAAAAAAACAUAAAUAACAUUCCAAUUAACAAUAAAUAUAAAAAUCAAAGAAAUAUAAAAAUAUAAGGACAAUAGUAUGUCCAAAAUGGAAAAAAUAUCAAUAACUUCCAAAUUUUGGUUGCAGUAACAUUUUUUUUUUUGAUAACCGGGAAAUCCGUCUGUGACCCACCCUUUGGACCAAUCACAGCCUUCUAAACUCGGUGGAUAAUGGGUCUGCCCCUCUACCCUUCUCCACUUAAAUACCAGUCUUCGCUUUGCAAGGUGUGGGGCUUGAACCUGCGACCUAAGCCACAAAUCCUCCACCGUUUGCCACUUGAGCUAGGCCUUGGGGGUGUGUUGUAACAUUUGAAAAAGUUACCAUAACAAGACGUGAAAUUUACAUUUCUAAAGGUGAGCACUGGCCUACAAAUUCUUCGUACAGUUUUCAGAGUUUAUAUGUACAAUUCAAUCUCAUUUAAUCGCUCCAAACAAAUCAAAUGGGAGAAGUUGACCUUUUUAUUAGGUAAACAAUAUCCACUUCAUUAAUAUCGGCCAAAUGUGCAUCAGAGCUAUGUUGCUCGGACUCGGGUGCGGGUACCAAAAUGAGUGCGGAUCCGAGAGUUGGAUUCGACAAAACCUAAAUUUUAAGAUUCGGGGGUACGAAUCCUAGUAUGGAUACGGGUGCGGGGAAUCGGUUAAAAAUUCAACACUAUAAAAAUACAGUUAUAAAGAUAUUCUAAAUUUGAGAGAUAUUUUGUAGAAUUCAAUUUUUUAUUUAUCCUAGUCUUAUCUCCUAACCAAUUAUAAAGCUUAAAAUUUAUAUGUAGAUGAUACAUAUUGAGAUUUGUUGUCCCAAUGAAUUUUUACGCUACACACUAGUCCAACAAAGUGCCGAGUACUGACUAUACAAACAGUAGGCCCAUGAAAGGUAAAAUGUUAUUAGAAGUGGUUAGACCAAAUGUUGAAAUAAUUUUAGUUCCAACAUGCAGGCCCAUAUAAAUCGUUGAAAAACCCUAGUUCAUAAAUUUUGUUUCAUUCACAGUUCACACGCCAAUGCCUCUAUGAAAUCCACCAAAACCUCAACCCUAGCUCACCUACUCCCUCUCGGCCAAAAUGCAACCAACGUUCAAUCCAUCUCAGAUCGUCGAGGUUUCUUUCCGAGUCACCGGAGGUGAAGUCGAAGUGGCAAGUUCACUCGAUCCAUCUCAAAUCAUCGAGGUCUUACCCCAAAUUUUUUCUCGACUAUAGUAAAAGUAUUUGUAUGGGAUUGACCAAAUCUGACACGCACCUCGCACCCACACCAGCCCCAGUGUCACGUCGAGAAGGAUUCGGCAGCAAAAUCGAAGAGUCUGCAACAUAGCAUCAGAGGCUACAUUUUUAUACUCGUGUGAAAAAUCUAUGCUAGGAACAGUUGAGACAAGAGAAGAAAACACAGUUCAAGAAGCAUUAGAAGAGAUAGAAGGGAAAACAAUAGAGAUUUAGAAGAAAUACUAGGAGCAAAACUGCAAGGAAUAUGAGAAAGUUUGUACAGUCCACACUCUGGUCUACCAAAAAUAAUAUUUGGUGAAGGGCCUCUAAAGUGCAACCAGAGUUGGUGAACUGGACAAUAUUCCCAAAAGGUUCAACAAGUUUUGAAUCAGAAAUGAGGUUAUGCUAAAAGUUAGGAAUGUAUAAUACAUUGUACAAAGUAAGAUCAGGAAACAGUGUUAACGAGCCAAUGUUAGAGACUUUAACUUUGUAUCCAUUUAGAAGUGAAACAAGACAAGGAAUAUGUAAUGUUUUAACAUAGAAGAGUAAAGAAAGGUUAGAUCGAUGUCGUGAUCUAAUGCUCCAGAAUCUAUAGUCCAAAUGGUAUCACUAAUCUUAGUAAGUAAAUAAGUUUUGAACAAAUCAACAUGUAAUGUUAGCAGAUGCUAUGAGGAUUACUGAGUGGUAAAAGAUGAGUGUGCUGCAAGUAGGACAGUAUGUGGAGGUACUCAUCUUUAGUCAGACUAGCAACAAUGACUGGCAGGUUAGAAACACCAGAUAAACCAGAACCUAAGAUUGUGCCCCUGUAUGACCAGGACAAGAAGUCUCAAAUUCAGCAUGUGCUGCUGUCUUCCUUGGACCAGUAUUCUUAGGGUCACCAGUAUUCUCUGAACUUUAAAUGAUAAGGAUAAUAAUUUAGCCUGUAACAUUUCUCAGUGGUGUGAUUUGUUUUGCAAUACAAAACAAAAGAAGUUGUGAUGAUCAAAGGAGACUUUGGACAGGAACUGUGCUUUGGAGACUCUAGCAGUGAAAGAAGCAGAAUUGAAUCCAAAAUGAGAAGCAGAGGAGACUUGUAUCUGUUUCUAUUCAACCAACAAGGAAGUGAAUUCAUCAUAAGAAGUUAAGAACAAUCCUUCUCACUUGUAGAUAAGUCUAAUUGAGUCCAUUAAAAACGGAUAAACCUUUUGUCCCCUUCAACCUUCCUGUUACCACCGCAAGUACACACGGUCAAAUGAUUUGCAGAAAUAGAAUAUCUCAUCCCAAAGCUUUUUGAUUUUGUUAUAGUAAGUAGCAAUGUAUAAAGAUACUUGAGAAAUGCCUACGAACUCUUCUUAAGCUAAAAAAUUCUAGUAACAUCAGUCUUACCAUAUCUUUCUUCCAAUUCAUUCCAAAUAUCUCUAGCAAGUUCAAAUAGUCAACACGCUGAGAAAUUCCUUUGGUGAGGAAAUUAGUUAACCAGGUUCCUACUAAGUCAUUACAACAUUAAGUCAUUGCAACAUUGCCAUUGUAUAGACAAAGGAGAGUAAUCAAGAGGUCUAGUUGAAGUUCCAGUGAUGAAACCCAACUUGUUUCAAACAGAUAAAGCUACUAAUACUAUACGUCUCAAACUACUAUAACAAGAACAAUCAAAAGGAUCAGAAACCAAAGAAACCCCCAAAACAUCAGAUGGAUGAGCAUAAAGAGGAUGGCAUAGAUGCAUAUAAUCAAUCCUUGGGGUGAAAUACAACACUUUCAUGUUUUACUUGAUUUCGCAUUAUGACUUAAAAUGAAUAGAGUAAUAUUUGGGGUUUGCCUACGGGAGGGUAAGUACCUUCAUGGCUAGCUUGUACUUUUGGAUCAUGACAAUUUGGUAUCAGAGCAUGGUUCACAUGUCUCAUGAAUACAAGAUCAAUGUCUAAUACAGUCUUGCAAAUUGUUAUAAAGACAUUUGUACUUAUCUUUGAGAGGCUACAUGAUAUUAAGAAAAUUUAUAUUCUACCAUUCCUUAUCGUGCGUAGUUUACUUUAUCAAAUUAUAAAUCUCUUAGUUUCACUCUUCUACAGAUGGUGAGGAUCUGUGCAUUUGGAGCUGGAGGCCAAGAGCCUACACCGACACCUAUUACCAGGGUUGUGGAAGGUGGUAGAGUCGGAUCCCUAGUCGCAACACUAGUGAGAGGUAGAGUAUGAUAAUUGCUCAGGGUCGUGCUCGACCAACGUCCCAAGAUAUUUAUGAUAUUCUAGAUAAUGAGACGAUUCCACCUGGAUUUAUUGCUAUGCUAGUACUUCAAGACACGCUUGUCCAUAUGAUUGGAUUCUGUGAGGGAUGGCGUAGGCAGAUAUUCUACUAGUUACACCAGAUGGCUCGUAGACUAGGAUGGGAGGUUAGAUUACUGAUCAUAUGACUGCUCUAAUGUUCCAUCCUCUCGGGGUUGUGGGUUUACAUGCACGUUUGUAUCGCUAUCAUUACCUCUAACCCAAAUGAGUGUAAUGACAGCGGCGUCGGUGGUGAGUUUGAUUCUGCUCUAUCGUUUUUCAUGUUUCUUACAUUUUUAACCGACUCUGAAGGUCUUGGUAAUGGUAUGCUUAGUGUGCUUGAACCUACUGCAGCGUAUGUCUCUUUUUGUUGAUCUAUUGGAUGAGAUAGAACAUGAUUCAUGAAUUCUCGAUAGCCUCUACAAUUUUGGGACAUAGAGGACAUUGGAGUAGCGAGAGAUGAGUCGACAUUUCAUAAACCAAAAUUGAAAUGGAAACAGCAUCAACAAUAUUAUUAUUUGUGGUCAAACAACAUAAAAAUAUUACCUAAAAAAUGGUCAACUCAACUAUUUGAUUUGUUCGGAGUGAUUAGAUGAGACUGAAUUGUACAUAUAAACUCUAGAAACUAUAUGAAGAAUUUAUAGGCCCGUACUCAUCUGCAAACCUGUAGAUUUCACAUAUCUUGUUAUGGUAACCAUAGAUUUCCCCUUUUGGUUGCAAAGCUACAACUUUUGAAAAAAUUACCAUAACAAAACAUGUGAAAUCUAUAGUUUUGAAGGUGAGCAAUGGCCUAAAAAUUCUUCAUACAAGUUUUCAGAGAUGAUUGCUCCAAACAAAUCAAAUAGGUGAAAGUUGACCUUUUUUUAAGGUAAAUUUUUUAUGUUGUUUAACAUUGUUGAUGUUGUUUCCAUUUCAAUUUUGUUUUACAGUAUGUCAGUCAUCUUGCGCUUGUUGUUUUGUUACUACGUUACACUUCUUUUUUAUUUUUGCUUGUAGUAACUAGUAAAGUUGAUCCUUUUGUGAUUUAAUUAUGUUUUUGCUUUAUAUGUUAUGACUUAGGAUUAUUGACUUUACUUUUAAUCUAAGAAUAUAUUACCUCUAUUUAGUUAUUUAAUAUUUAUUUAUUUUUAUACUAAAUACCGCCUUACUUUAAAAAAGCACGUGCUUCGCUUCUCGCUUCAGUGAAGCGAGCCCUCAUCGCUUUUUUCCGCUUCUCGCUUCCCAAAACACUGCCCCACACACACACAUCCCAUCGGCAUUUCAUCCAUUCUGGGUUAGAGGUAAUGAUAGUGGUAAAAAUAUGAGAGUAAACCAACAACUAUCACCUAUGUCGCUGCCACCACCACCAUCUCACAUCCUGCCCGUUCAGUUCGACGUAAAGAAGAUGGAAGAGGUGAGCAUACAAACCAACAGCUACUAGCACCUCCACCACCCUCAUAUCAUGCUAAAUCGGUCAAAGGUAUCAAUGAUGGCAAAGGUGUGCAUACAAACCAUCAGAUACCACCACCACAAGCAUAUCGUCUUCCCUCACUUAGAGAAAAUGCUAAUGGCGGAGGUGUACAAGCAAACCAGCAGCUACUACCACCACCACCACCCUCAUAUCGUGCCAACUCAAUUAGAGGUAACAACGAUGGCAAAGGUGUGCAUACAAACAACAUAUACCACCACCUUCAUAUUGUUGAUGAGCAUAAAGUGCAAUGGACAAAGUUUGGAUGUCCAUUAUGAUGGGACAAAUGGACGGCACGAAAUGGUAAAAUGAUCAUCAAUAUUUUGAUGAAUUCUCCAAUCGGUAGUGUAUUUCUUGGUUCUAUUGAUGCUAGCAAUGAAUCUACCGAUUCCAACCAAAAUGUACAAGUUGUUUGAAAGCACUAUUGAAAGAAUUGGACCGGGAAAUGUUGUACAAAUUGUCACCGAUAAUGCUAGUGAGAAUGUUAAAGCGAGAAGCAUGAUGAUGGGUGCGUACCCACACAUUUAUUGGACUCCAUGUGCCGCUCAUUGCAUCAACUUGAUGUUUGGUGACAUAUUCAAGGUUAAGCCAUAUGCUUCCGGUAAUAUCACUCUCCUAUCCUCUAACUUUCUUUAUAGUCAAUAUUUAAUACUCAUUAGCUACUAAUUACUAUAAUCUUACUUUAACAGUUUUUAAGAAGGCCAUCAGAAUCCAUUCCUACAUUAGUCAAAGGCCAUUGUUGUUAAACUUGAUGAGAAAAUUCACCAAGGAAAGAAAUUUGGUGAAACCGGCCAAGAUAAGAUUUGCAACGGCCUUCUUGACUUUAAGAGCUAUGUGCAUACAAAAGAAAAAACUUGAGAACUUUAGUCCUCUCAACCGAAUGGACUUCAAGUAAAUUUGCAAAGGAAACUUUGGGGAAAGAAGUUGACAAUCUUAUUAUUUCUGCCCACUUUUGGGAUGAUGUUGUUCGAGCACUUACAAUUUGUGGCCCUUUGACAAAAGUGCUUCGUUUGGUGGAUGGGGAAGAAAAAACCACCAAUGGGCUAUAUUUAUGAAGCAAUGGAUAGAGCCAAAGAAACUAUUGCACAGGGUUUUCGUGGAGUUAAGAAGCAAUAUGAGAAAGUGUUUGAAAUUAUUGAUGCAAGGCGGUCAGACCAACUCCAUCGGCCUUUGCAUGCUGCAGACCAUGUUUUGAACCCAGGAUUGUAUUAUAAAGCUCAAGAAGAGGGAACUUUACUACAGAGUCUAUGGACUGCGUAUUAUGCAUGUGUUGAGAAGAUGAUCCUCGAUACAGCAAUACAAGAUUUACUAGUCACUGAGCUUCCUAGGUACAAAAUGGCGGAUGGACUAUUUGGUUGUGGUCCAACUAAAAGAGCUAGAGACACAAGGUCACCGGGUAAGUGAGUUGAUUUAGCUCUUACCUAAAUUAUUCAACUUAUUUAUACUCAUUAACCUUUUAAUGUAUUUUAUUAUAGUGGAAUGGUGGUCACUAUUUGGUAGUGAAACACCAAACUUGCAAAAGUUUGCCAUGAAAGUAUUAAGCCUAACUUGUAGCUCAUCUGGAUGUGAGCGAAAUUGGAGUGUGUUUGAACACGGAAGUAAAAAAAAUUAUAUCCUAAUUUCCAUAUUAUAUUAUUAUCAAUAUGUAUUAGUUAAUAUCUAGAACUUAUGUGCAGAUUCAUUCCAAAAAGAAGAAUAGGCUUGCACUAUCGCGUCUCAAUGAUCCAGUGUACAUUAAGUACAAUACAACAUUGAAACGUCGUUAUGAUGCUCGUGAUCUCAUUGAUCCAAUUCACUUGGAUAACAUUGAUGAUUCAAAUGAAUGGUUAGUUGGAUGCCCCGAAGAUCAAGAAAAUGAACUAGUAUAUGAGGAUGAUGAUCUUACUUGGGGUAGUGUUGCUACGACAAUUGGAGCUGAUGAGAGUAUCUAUCAUCUUAGGGGACUUUCUUCAAGAUCAAAAGUACUUGACCAGGGCAAAGGAGUAGAAACUACAUCUACAAGUUCAACUUCAAGUAGGACUCGAACACUAAUUGAUGAAGAUUACGAGGAGGAAGAAGAUGAGAAGCAAUAUAAUGAUGUAGAGGAUGUUGAUCUUCAAGAGUUGGAUAGUUUUGAAGAAGAAUAGACUUUUAGAGUUCUAGUAUAUGUUAUUGACUUAUUGCUAUUGAGAUUUUGGAUAUUUAUAUAUGCAAUUAAAUAUUUUUAAUUUUUGGUAUUAAUUGGCGCCUCGAUUCAAAAAGGCGAGCGGCGAGUCGCCUCUCGCCGUCCAAAACACUGGUCUGAAUCACCAAUUGCUUAGAUGUUUUUUUUAGGUUUUCUCCUUAUUUAUAUAGUUGUAUUCCCCUAGAAUUCUAAUAUAACUUUUGUUUGUGUCAUUGAUUUUUUUUGUGUAUUCACGAUAUACUUAAAUCUAAUAUCACAUCUAUUGGUACAUUUAUUUAGAAUUUUGUAGGUCACAUAAUUUUUUCCGAAAACAUAUAAAAACAUCAAAUAGAAGCCAUCAUGAUCUAUGUCAAAUGUAAGGUAUUAGUAUGCAUAAAUACCACCCUCUCUAGAUCUCACUCGUGGGAUUACAUAGAGUAUGUUGUUGUUGUUGUUCUUUUAAGUAAUAUCCGCAUUGCAUAAAAAUUUACACGUCUAACCACCUUUGAACAACUCAAAUAUGUAGCGAUUGAUAGAAGACUUUACUAAUUUCAUGUCUAAAAUUGUUUUGAAGUGGUUAGAAGUGCAUAAAAAAAUUUAGUGUUGUAGUGUUGUAACAUUUUAAAAUGUUGUAGUGUUGUAACAUUUUAAAAAGUUACCAUAACAAGACAUGAAAAUUUACAAUUCUAAAGGUGAGCACUGACCUAUAAAUUUUUCAUACAAUUGUCAGAGUUGAUAUGCACAAUUCAGUCUCAUUUAAUCGCUCCAAACAAAUCAAAUAGAUGAAGAUGGCCUUUUUAUUAGGUAAUUUUUUUAUAUUGUUUGACCACAAAUAAUAACAUUGUUGAUAUUGUUUCCAUUUCAAUUUUGUUUUACAGAAUGUCGACCCAUAUCUUGCUACUCCAUCACCUACUACCACCACCACCACCCUCAUAUCGUGCCAACUCGAUUAGAGGUAGCAACGAUAGCAAAGGUGCGCAUACAAACCAAUAGAUAACACUACCACCACCACCAUAUCGUCCUCCUUCACUUAGAGGAAAUGAUAAUGGCUAAUGUGUGCAUGUAAACUAGAGGCAACAAAUGUUUCAUUCAACAAGAAUGACCUAUUACCGAGGUUCAAAUUCAAUAGUUAUUAACCAAAAUGUACCUAUUUUGGAUAGAUCAAAGCCAUGAUCCAUUUGAGAUGAAAUUUGAACCUCAAUUAGUUUGUGAUAACGAAACUAGUGUUCUAGAUCUAACCUUAAAACUUUAAAGCUAAAAGUAUCCAUGCUUAAACCAUUUGCUUCUUUUUUAUUAAAAAUUGUCUGAGCGAUCAAUUGCAUUGAUGUUUUUAAGCUUUCUCGUGUUUUACAGUGUUGUAUUCACUUUUCCCUAUAAACUAAAAUCUAAUAUCAUAUCUAGUGGUACCAUUUAUUCAGAAUUCUGUAGGUCACAUGAUUUUCUUCUAAAACAGAUAAAAACACCAAAUUGAAGCCACCAGCAUCUAUGUCAGACAUAAGGUGUUAGUAUGCGUACACACCACCCUCUCCAGACUCCACUUGUGGGAUUACAUUGAGUAUGUUUUUGUUCAUUUAAGUUAUAUCCGCAUUGCAUAAAAAUUUACAAGUCUAACCACUUUUGAACAACUCAAAUAUGCAUUGAUUAAGAUUAGGGUUUACUAAUUUCAUGUCUAAAAUUGUUUCGAAGUGGUUAGAAGUGCAAAAAAAAUUAAAAAGUAGGUACAAGCUAAAUAGUGAAGUCCAAAUAACGUACUCAUGAAAUUAUGUCACAUGACAUAAUUUGGAUAUUGAAAUGAAAUAACAUACUAAUAGAUUUUAGUCUUGAAACCAAUUAUGCGCAUGAAAUUAGACUCAAUGGCAUGUCUUGAACACAACUUACCCCAUGGGCAAUCGUUUCAAGAUCAAAAGUGAAAACUAGUUGAACUUGUAGUUUUGUCCAUGGGACAAGCAAGAAAAGUUUAAGAUCACUCACCUUCAAUGUCAUUCUUAAGAGGGUGUUUAGAUUGACUUAAAAGUUGGUCAAACCUACUUUUAAGUCAGUUUUUAACUUCUGGAAGUGUUUGGCAAAUAUAAAAAUAACUUAAAAUAAUUAGAAAGUGUUUGGCAAGGUCAACAAUGACUUAAAUAAGUUAAAAUGACUUAAAAUAAGUCAAAAACCAAAGUAGGUCUCCCCCUACUUUUUAUUUUUUGACUUAAAAGUCAUUUCAGUUUGACUUUUGAUUUUUGACUUAAAAACUAUUCUUUAAGCCAAUCCAAACGGGCUCUAAGAAUCACUCAAUCAAGUGAGUUAGAUAUUGCAAAGUCCAAUUUAAUGGCCAAGAUAAAAUAGGACUUUAAAUUUUGUUUAAAUACUAGAUGAGUAAUUGCAUGUGUAAGCAUAGGCCCAAUAAUGCAAAUCUUUCCAUAGCUCCUUUUCCUUUUAUUUUUCUUUGAACUAAUUCAAUUAGAAUUUCUGCCUCAUAUGUUUUACUGAAAAUAUCUAAAAACAAAGAAAAACAUACCAUAAGAGUUAAGUUGAUUAUCCUCUUUAUUAUUUAAAGGAACAAUAUAUAUUGAUACUCACAUAGAGUGGGCCUUAAGUAAUGGAUACAAUUUACUCUUUGCACUUACUAACUAGGUCUCUUCUAUAUCUUUAUGGACCAACAUAUUGAUACAGCUCGAUAGUAAUUGGGCAUCUAGCUGUCUUUGUAGACCCAAGAAGCAAUCUCAUGCACUGUUGCACCUGAAUUUCAAGCUUGCUCACUCCAACUAUUGUUUUGGUCAACCCUUAGGCUUUCCAAGUUUCUAGUUUUUGGUUUUCUUCAUUGGCACGCAUGUGAUUGCCUCGAGAACCAUACCACUAGUCCCAACAAGUCAUAAACACGGUAUAUGUCUAUGUAAAAGGUCAUUUAAGGGAAAGGAUCCUAAUACUCAAAAUGAAUAGACAAGUCGUUACAUAAAAUGUUUAUUAGUAAUCAACCAAAGCUUGAUGUUAGUUUUCUUUUUAUUUCAUCAUUUUCCAAAUGACUGAAUUUCUACUAAGGCCACCUGGAUACUCUAAAUAUCCUAUUCAUCAAAUUUGUCUAGGUCCAGAUCUUCAGCAUGGUUUAGUGAAAAUAGUCAGAUUUACAUUUUUUUUUCUCAUGGAACAAUGCCUAGCAUACUAAUCAUCCACUAUUUAUUUCCAUCAUUUUUUUCACAAUUUGAUUACCCUUUUCUUCAACAUUUUCCACAAUAUGAUUGACAAACAAACUGCAAACAUGUGUACAAUUUCGUACUAUCAUACAUAGUAAUUUCACUAACAGGUUAACUUGAAAACAUUCAAUCCAGAUCAACUGCACGUCAUACUACCAAAACUACUAAGCUCAUAAUCUUGCAAAUGAAUGCUUAAUAAGCAACUAAUAUUUUUAGGACCACGCUAAUAAUAGAAUCAAAUUUCAACCCAAAAAGUUUAGCUCAAAAUUCAGCUAAAGACUCAUAGGCAUUUAUAAUUAAGAGAUCUUACUUCUUUUCAGAUAUCUCCACAACCAUGGCAUUCUGCUUCUCCACAACCUCUGAUUUCUUCAACGGUUGUGAAAUUUCACCCUUAUCAGUCACUGAAGAACACCAUAUUUUACAUUCGGUCAAUAGAAAUGAGCUCCAUUAACACAUACAUUUGAGAAAAAAAACCAAUACUUCUCGACCCUCCCUCCCCAAAACCAAUAUAAAAAACCAAGAGUAGCUUUUGCACCAAAUAUGAUAAAAGAAAAAAGACAUAAUUUUUCUCCAAAUGGAUAUCAGAUAAACUACUAAUUUACUCUACAUUCUGCAAAUAGGUAUCAUUAACACAUACAAGUGAUAAAAUCAAUACCCCUCAACCCCCAUCCAGCCCACAACAUUUUUGAGACCAAAAGAAAGGAAAAAGAUUCACUUUUUCCAAAUUGGUUUCUUUUUUUUUGAGAAAGGUAACAUUUACUUCUAUAUAUAUACCACUUCAAAGUGUAGUCCCCCUCCAAAAAGUUUUACUUGCAUCAUUCCUAAGAUCUUUUAGUUACAGUCAAUAUUAUUAAACACAUUUUCAGCAUCUCCUAUCACUACUUGCUUACACCAAAAAUAGUAAAGCCCUAGGCAAUUUGUCUUUAUCUUCUGGAUAUUGUUAUGUUUUCCUUCAAAACAUCUUUGAUUCCUUUCCUUCCAAAUUGUCCACCAAAUGCAAGCUGGGACAAUCCUCCAUCUCUUCUCUUUUUUCCUUGCAUUUCCAUCCCUGUUCCAGCAUUGUAGGACUUCUAUAAUUCUCCCAGGAUUUUAUUUUUUAUGACAAGGAACCCGCAGCCGCUACCCUUUGGGUGCGCACAGGGUAAUAAUUCUCCCAGGAUUUGUCCACUUAAUCUUCCACUUUUGGAUGAACAUCUGCCACAAUUGAUUUGUCCAUUUGCAGUGUCAAAAGAGAUGGUUCCUGAUAACCUACUUAUUCACUCUUAUAAGUUCAAACAAUAAAAUCAAUACCCCUCAACCCCCAUCCACCCACACCAACAUUUUGAGACCAAAAGAAAGGAAAAAGAUUCACUUUUUUCCAAAGUGGUAUCUGAUAAACUACUUAUUCACUCUUCUACAUUUUGCAAAUAGGUUCAUUAACACAUACAAGUGAUAAAAUUAAUACCCCUCAACCCCAUCCAGGCAUCCACCCCACACCAACAUUUUGACACCAAAAGAAAGGAAAAAGAUUCACUUUUUUCAAAGUGGUAUCUGAUAAACUACUUAUUCACUCUUCUACAUUCUGCAAAUAGGUUAAUUUAAAACAUACAAGUCAUAAUAUUAAUACCCCUCAACCCCCAUCCAGGCAUUCACCCCACACCAACAUUUUGAGACAAAAAGAAAGGAACAAGAUUCACUUUUUCCAAAUUAGUAUCUGAUAACCUACUUAUUCACUCUUCUACAUUCUGCAAAUAGGUUCAUUAACACAUACAAGUGACAGAAUCAAACCCCCUAAACCCCCACCAACCCCAGACAAACAUUUUGAGACCAAAGGAAAGGAAAAAAGAUUUAUUUUUUUCCAAACUGAUAUCUGAUAAAUUACUUAUUCACUCUUCUACAUUCUGCAAAUAGGUUCAUUAACACAUACAAGUGAUAAAAUCAAUACCCCUCAACCCCAAUACAGGCAUCCACUCCACACCAACAUUUUGAGACCAAAAGAAAGGAAAAAGACUCACUUUAUCCAAAUUGGUAUCUGAUAAACUACUUAUUCACUUUCUACAUUCUGCAAAUAGGUUCAUAACACAUACAAAUGAUAAAAACAAUACCCUUCAACCCCAUCCACCCCACACCCAACAUUUUGAGACCUAACGAAAGGAAAAAGAUUCACUUUUUCCCAAAUUGGUAUCUGAUAAACUACCUACUCAUCUGCCUAAUUCUACCAACAGAAAAAAGGUUCACUUUUUAAACAAAAUCCAAGUGAAAUAAUCAAAUCCCAACCCAACAUCAGAAUCAAGAAUCAACAUUCUGAGGCAAAAAUGAAGGGAAAAAGACAAAUUUUUUCAAGUGGGUAUUUGAUAAAUUACCUGCAAUGUCGAUCAGCGAUCGCAAUUUGGGUGAAUGAAGACGAGAGAUGGACAUUAUGCUCUCCCAUUUCUCACAGGGAGAGAAAGCAACAGCAGAGGGUUUUGGCGAGGUUUUAGGAUACUCAAAAGUCAGAACAAGAUACACAAGUAAAUGUAAUGAACU
rnacentral:lncRNA from 1 species